UUUAUGGAGAGUUUGAUCCUGGCUCAGGAUGAACGCUGGCGGCGUGCCUAAUACAUGCAAGUCGAGCGAACGGACGAGAAGCUUGCUUCUCUGAUGUUAGCGGCGGACGGGUGAGUAACACGUGGAUAACCUACCUAUAAGACUGGGAUAACUUCGGGAAACCGGAGCUAAUACCGGAUAAUAUUUUGAACCAUG
rnacentral:rRNA from 1 species